rnacentral:rRNA from 1 species
UACGUAGGGUGCGAGCGUUGUCCGGAAUUAUUGGGCGUAAAGGGCUCGUAGGCGGUUUGUCACGUCGGGAGUGAAAACUCGGGGCUUAACCCUGAGCCUGCUUCCGAUACGGGCAGACUAGAGGUAUGCAGGGGAGAACGGAAUUCCUGGUGUAGCGGUGAAAUGCGCAGAUAUCAGGAGGAACACCGGUGGCGAAGGCGGUUCUCUGGGCAUUACCUGACGCUGAGGAGCGAAAGUGUGGGGAGCGAACAGG